GCUAAUUUUACUGCCUUGAAAUUCCAGUGAUGAUGUCACUCAUCUUACAAGGUGGUUAUGUAAAUUAUCUGAUAUGAUCUAUUUACUCAAUGAUUCAGCAAAUAUUAUUUGUGCUCCAACUACAUGGCAAUCCCCAUGCUAGGCACUGGAAACACAGAAGUUAAUAAAACAGACAAGGACCCUGCCACGUGAAGCUUGCAUUUUAUUGGAAGAAGAAAAAUAUUAAACAAAUAAAUACAAUAAAGACGUAUAUAAUAGCAUAGUAUCAGAUAAUGAUAGUUGAUUUUAAGAAAAUGAAACAGGAUAACAGAAUGGACAGUGAGGGCAGGUAUUUGAUUAGGAUGGUUGAAGAAGACCUCUCUGAGAAGAUAACAUUUGAAUAGAGGUGUGGAUGAUAGAAAGAAGCUGGCCAGGAAAAAGGGAUGGAAGAACAGCUUUCUGGACAGAGAGACCAGCUAGUGACGAGGCUUAAUAGAAAGAGUUUGACAUGGAGCAGGACGGGCAAGGAAAUUAACGAUGUUGUCUCACUCUGUCACCCAGGCUGGAUUGCGGUGGCGCGAUCUCGGCUCACUGAAACCUCCGCCUCCUGGGCUCAAGCAAUUCUCUUGCCUCAGCCUCCCAAGUAGCUGGGAUUACAGGUGCGCCACCACACCCCACUAAUUCUUGUAGAGACAGGGUUUCACCAUGUUGGCCAGGCUGGUCUCAAACUCCUGACCUCAAGUGAACCGCUCACCUCGACCUACCAAAGUGCUGGGAUUACAGGCCUGAGCCACUGCACCUGGCCGAGGACUGUGCUCUUUAACACUAGGGAAUAUAUCUUCUCACAGGAAUGGGAAUAUCAGAAAACAAUCAUGUUAUAUUGAUUAACCAGAAGAGUUGCCUUAGCCAUGGAGCAUGGAUGCUGAGGACCAGAAUCCCCAACUGACCAGCAAAGGAUAUGUAACACAAACAAGAAUUAGACCUGUGCUGCUUUAAGCUAUUGAGAUUGUGGGCUGCUUGUUAUUGCAGCAUAAUAUCACCCAUCCUAAUUAAUACAAUUAAUGCUCUAAAUACAAGGACAGAGUCUGAAGAAACAAGCAAAGCAUAGUGGUGAUGAUGAAUUCUAAUCACACAGAGGAUUACACUAGGACAGAAUAAGGCACAGAAGGACUUCAAUUCAUUUAUCAUGACCUCUGAAAUGAGACACAUACAUUUUUAAACACCACCUUUUAACUGUUGCCAAUACUUAAGCCUCAAUCCCCUUGUCUCAAAAUGUGAAUAAUUUGCUGUGAAAAUCAGAUAAAACAAAAAACUUCAGGCACUUAGCACAGAGCCUAGCACACAAUCAUAACUCAAACCGCAGUAGCUUUCAUCCAUCAUUCGUGGGAUGUCCAUCUUAACAACAUAACAGAGACACAGGUUGGAGCUAGAGCUGCCAUAAGAAGGGAUCAAAUUUCUAUUGUCAGACAAGGACUCAUUUGUCUUUAUCUUUUAGCCACUUUUAGAGUCUAGGCAGAAGUGGGACGUUGUGGGAGGGCUUGCUCCAUACCCCAUUUGUUAUUUCCGAUAAAAUGAUUAUAACCUUUCAUAUGAUCCACAUUUCACAAGUAAGGAAGCCAAAGUUUCUUAGACAAAGUCAAAAGCCAGUAAUCCACAACUAUCAAUUUCUUUUUUAAAAAAUACAACAUGGUGGAACAUUUUUAUUUGAUGUCCGAUCUCAUCAGCUCAGAGGGAGAGUCAUGAUAACCUGCCUGAGAGGCUGGGACCCCUAAGAACUCACUGAAAAAUCAUGAGAAACAUCUCUAGUCCACAGAGCUCCACCAGGGUGGCCACAGUUGUUUUUGGCCAUGAGGAAAGAGAACAUGUUGAAGAAUAGCCUAUCUUUAUUUGACUGAAUACUCCUACUGUUUGUGUGACAUAAGAAAAGAUUAAGUUUGCUCUGAGCAAUGGGAAAUUCUUAGAUUCUUGUUGACUUCACUGCUCCAUAUGACUUGAAACAAACAGAACACCCUAUACUAAUCAUAACAGACUCAGGAAGCCUGAGGAGGGGUGAAUAUUUUAUAUUUAUAUAACAAAAAACAAAGCAGUGGCAAAUGGAAACCUACGUUAAUAAUAAGAUAAAAUGAAUGUCAUAAUAUUAGAAUAUACCACCUUCUACUAAGUUUAACAAGUGUCACGUGACUUCGAAGAGAAGAUAGUAAGGAACAAAAUGCUGUUGACAAAUUCUGCUAUAUUACCAUCAUGCUUCAUGAAAGCUGUUUUAUAGAGUUUUCAUUUUUUGCUGAAUAUUAAUGAGACAAAUAUUUUUGGAAUAGAUUUGCUCCAGAAAUAUUGGGAUAGAUUCCUUAGAUAUCUAGGAGAAGAAAUAAGAGAUCAAUAUCAAUUCAUUCCCAUCUACUAAAAAACAUGUUUUCUUACUUCUCAAGGGGUCCUCUUAACAACUGUUUUGAACUUAGUAGCUUGAGCCUCUUUAAAACAGAAUGAACUCUGCUACUGAGAAUUUAAGAUUAUAUCCCUACCUUGUUUAUUUAUAAAGCAGAUCCCAGACAGUCAUAGUGAGAGGUGACAGCAUGCUGGCAGUCGUCGCAGCCCUCGCUCGCUCUUGGCGCCUCCUCGGCCUGGGCGCCCACUCUGGCCGCGCCUGAGGAGCCCUUCAGCCCGUCGCUGCACUGUGGGAGCCUCUUCCUGGGAUGGCCGAGGCAGGAGCCAGCUCCCUCAGCCUGAGGGGAAGUGCGGAGGGAGAGGCACGGGCAGGAACCGGGGCUGCGCGUAGCCCUUGCGGGCCAGCUAGAGUUCCGGGUUGGCGUGGGUUUGGCGGGCCCCGCCUCCCUGGGCAAUGAGGAGCUUAGCACCCGGACCAGCAGGGUUUAGCAACCGGGCCAGCAGCUGAGGAGGGUGCGCUGGGUCCCCCAGCAGUGCCAGCCUACCGGCGCUGCGCUCGAUUUCUCGCGGGGCCUUAGGUGCCUCCCCGCGGGGCAGGGCUCCGGACCUGCAGCCCGCCAUGCCUGAGCCUCUUCUCCCCUACCCCCACCCCGCCGUGGGCGCCUGCGCGCCAGAGCCUCCCCAGGAUCGCCGCCCCCUGCUCCAGGGCGACUGGUCCCAUCGACCGCCCAAGGGCUGAGGAGUGCAGGGGCACAGCGCAGGACUGGCGGCAGCUCCAUCUGCCGCCCCAGGUGCGGGAUCCACUGGGUGAAGCUAUCUGGGCUCCUGAGUCUAAUGGGGACUUGGAGAACGUUUAUGUCUAGCUAAGGGAUUGUAAAUACACCAAUCAGCACUCUGCAUCUAGCUCAAGGUUUGUAAACACACCAGUCAGCACCCUGUGUCUAGCUCAGGGUUUGUGGAUGCCCCAAUCCGCACUCUGUAUCUAGCUAAUCUAGUGGGGACUUGGGGAAUCUUUAUGUCUAGCUAAGGGGUUGUGAAUACACCAAUCCGCACUCUGUAUCUAGCUCAAGGUUUGUAAAUGCACCAAUCAGCACUCUGUGUCUAGCUCAGGGUUUGUAAAUACACUAAUCAGCACUCUGUAUCUAGCUAAUCUAGUGGGGACAUGGAGAACUUUUGUGUCUAGCUCAGGGAUUGUAAACGCACCAAUCAGCACCCUGUCAAAACGGACCAAUCAUUUCUCUGUAAAAUAGACCAAUUGGCUCUGUAAAAUGGACCAAUCAGCAGGAUGUGGGUGGGGCCAGAUAACAGAAUAAAAGCAGGCGGCCAGAGCCAGCAGUGCCAACCAGCUGGGGUCCCCUUCUGCCAUGUAGAGGCUUUGUUCUUUCAGUCUUUGCAAUAAAUCUUUCUGCUGCUUGCUCUUUGGGUUCACACUGCCUUUCUGAGCUGUAAGGCAGUGAAGGUCUCAUCACGAAAGUCUACAAUUUCACUCCUGAAGUCAUGGAGACCACGAACCUACAGGGAGGAACGAACAACUCCAGACAGGCCGCCUUAAGAGCUAUAAUUCUCACCGCGAAGGUCUGCAGCUUCACUCCUGAGACAGUGAGACCACAAACCCACUGGGAGGAACCAACAACUCCAGACGGGCCACCUUAAAAGCUGUAACACUCACUGCGAAGGUCCGCAGCUUCACUCCUGAGCCAGUGAGACAACGAACCCACCGGGAGGAACGAACAACUCCAGACGGGCCACCUUAAAAGCUGUAACACUCACCGCCAAGGUCCGCAGCUUCACUCCUGAGCCAGCGAGACCACGAACCAACCAGAAGGAAGAAACUCCGAACACAUCCAAACAUCAGAAGGAACAAACUCCAGACACGCCGCCUUUAAGAAUUGUAACACUUACUGCGAGGGUCCGCGGCUUCAUUCUUGAAGUCAGUGAGAUCAAGUACCCACCAAUUCCGGACACAAUAGUACGUUUUUUUAAAAGUUUAUAUACAAAGAAAUAAAAUUAUUUGUAAAAAAAUAAAAACUUAGAUAUUGAAGUUAUUGUGAAAGAUGACACGUUACUUGUUAUUGUGUAUUUUUACACUAAAAUUGAAUUUAAUUUUUAUUUCUAAUUUCGAUAUUACUGCAGAUCUAGCGCUUAUUUACUACAGAAAACAGACAUUUGAAUUCAAACGUGCUUUCUGAAUUUAAGUAUUUUUACACUAAAAUUGAAUUAAAUUUUUAUUUCUAAUUCCGAUAUUACUACAGAUCUAGCGCUUAUUUACUACAGAAAACAGACAUUUGAAUUCAAACGUGCUUUCUGAAUUUAAGUGUGUUUAUGAGCAGCACAUUUAGAGUCUCAUUGGCAUAUUUAAAAGUAUAGAUUCUUUCCAUCUAGAAUUUAAAAUAAUUCAAUAUUUUUCUAUGUCCCGAAAAUUCCAAACUUUACUCCUUAAAACCCUUGAAAUCCAAAAAAUUACAAGUUGCUGAAAAAGGGGUGUCUUAAAAUAUUAUAGUGUUGCCUAAUUCUUAUUUUUAUCUCUUUUAUGCUAUGGGGUAGAUUUUCUCCUAUGAAUUUGAUCCUUAAGUUAAUCAACCUACUAUAUACAUACAUAUGCACACACAUAUAUACUUACAAUGUAGACAUAUUGUAUGUAUCACCUAGCUGUAAUUAUUCUAUUUCAAUAAUAUUUUUUAGGAAGCAGAACAAAAAGUUAAUCAUUACUCCCAGGUAUUACUUGUUUCUGCAUGCCACUGUUUUCUAAUCUUUGAGAGUGCCUCAAAUUUAAGUAUAUCAUUCUGUCCAGUUUCUGUUUGCAAUAUUAACAAGAAUUCUUUCUCUUUCUACUUAAUGUAUAUAUUUUAAAAAAAAAAAUCCAUGCAGAUUUUGGUUAAAAUGCCAUUUUAGCAAUGGAAGUCCUUCCUUUAUUUUACUCAUAUCGUUCUAAAAAGGUUAGCAAAGUAAUUACUUAAAAGAACUUGCAAACUUUAAGCUUUCUUAAAACUUAAAGCAAACUUUAAUUUUGAGUUCACGGAUUAUAUUGUGAACCACUUAUUUAAAUAAAAGUGUUUAUAUUUUUCCUAAUAGAGUAUCGCUUCUGACACUGAAAAUGUUAAUAAUUGGUACACAGCUUUUAAAGCUUAUUUGAAACAAAACACACUGAUAUAGUUUGCAUGUGUGUGCCUGCCCACAUCUUAUGUCAAAAUGUAAUCCCUGAUGUUGGAGGUGUGGCCUGGUGGGAGGUGAUUGGCUCAUGGAGGUGGUUUCUCAUGAAUGGUUUAGCACCAUCCUCUUGGGUGCCCUCCUCUCAAUAGUGAGUUCUCGAGAGACUUGUUAUUUAAAAGUGUGUGGCACUUCCCCUCUCUCUCUCUUGCUCCUGCUCUGGCCAUGUGAUGUGACUGUUGCCCCUUCGCCUUCCACCAUGAUUGUGUCUUGAGGCAUCCCCAGAAGCUAAGCUGAUGCCAGCAUCGUGUUUUCUGUGCAGCCUGUAGAACGAUGAGCCAAUUAAACCUCUUUUCUUCAUAAAUUACCCAGUCUCAGGUAUUUCUUUACAGCAAUUUGAUAAUAGACUAAUAGAUGCACAAAUGUGUGUAUGAACCAUAGGCAAACACAAGAUUUCCAUGAAGUAAAUAUUUUCAAAUGAACAAUUAUGCCUAGCGUUUUUUAUUUGCACCCAUAUAUUUUAUGUCGUAUAGAAAGUAUGAAAGAUAACACAGAGAUGAAACUGCAAUCACACAGUUAAAAACAUGUAAUUCUAGUCUGAAAAAUUUUCCUCUUGGUCACAGUAUAUUCAAAAAUAAUACCAAAAAGAUUAAAACUAUUUUCAAGAUGGCCCAUUUCCAAGGGAUUUUUUUUUUGAGAAUUUUGGGGUUCUUGUCAAUUGAUCUGAAAUAAUUCUAAAGGCCCUCUAUAUUCCUAUUUCUCCUUUCCCUGUUCCAACAGGGUGCUAUGUACAUAAUUAUGCAGUAUUGCAAUUACCCAUUCUAAUAUCGAUUUGAUGUACUAUAUUGAAAACUUCAUAAGCCUAGAAAUAUAUUUUAAUUGUGCUUUUACUCAGUGGUGUAUUUAUAAUAAAUGGGUUGCUAUAGUAACAUUAUUUGAUAGCUGGAGCAGAUAAUUUUUUAACAACCUCCCAUUUGACCAAAUUAUUUUCAGUAAUAGUGUAACAAAUAUAUUUUAUCUGUAAACUAAAAUUUGUGCUUACCAACCAAAAAUACUACACCUCAAAGUUUGCACUCUACUUUAAGAACAAAUACAAAUUCCAAGUGGCCCCAUAGGAUAAGAAGAUUGUGGCAACUCAAGUUCCGUUUUUCAUCUAUAUAAUAUGCUACCUUUGUUUGCUUAGAAACAGCUGUUUAAAUGAAGGAAUAUUUAUAUAUUAUAAAAGCUGGACAGUAGUUGCAACACUGGUUUCAAAUAUUUAUACUAACAAGAUAUUGGGGUAGGUAGAGUACUUUAUGACUAAUUUUGCUUACAAUUGCCAGUAUAUAGCGAUAAUAAAAAAGAAGACUGACUUUUGGUUGCGUUUAUGAUUGUCUUCAAAUUCUCUAUGAACAACACACCCCCUAAUUGCCUGCACCUGGGACAGACCAUUCCUUACACCCUGACCUUGGCACACCUUGUAUUGCUUUUAUUCCCAGUGUCUAGACUGUGUCUUCUAUAUCAUAUAGGCUAAAAAAUUUUUUUAUGAAUGGGUUAUUAAGAAGUACGCUUAUGCUUGUUAUUUUAUUUUUUCAUAGACUUUUGGGAAAUACUAUUCGGCACAAGAAUAACUAGAAUAUGGCUCUGGUUCUUGAUAUGAUUGUUCUCUGUUACAACUAAAAGCCACAAAACCACGCGCUUUACUUCUCAUAGUUUAAGAAUCAAAAGGGCAUCUAACACCAAGUGAGAAUCACUUCUUACUGUAGUUUGUACAGCAGGCUUGGGCAUCCCCCCAAAUAUAUUUCAAAAUGAAAACAAAUAUGAUACUUAUAUUAUACCAUUAGUAGACUAUCCAAAAUGCUGUGCACAUGGAAUACAUGUGAAUUCCCUUCUGCUUGAUUUAUGAUGCCGGCCACUUGGAAGAGCAAAGAGAGAUAAAGGAGAAGCCCAGGCAAGCAUGCUGGCUAAUGAGAGAUCAAGACCCUGUCAUCCCAGACACUUCUGCUGCCGUGAUCAACAGCCUGCUAACUGCCAGUAUACGAGCUACCACCUGACUCCCCAGCUAGACACAGUGCUAAGUCUUCAUGCCUGGAAUAAUGUCUUGUAGACAUAGAAGACAGAAGACAGUCAAUUUGAGAGUGGAUGGUGAAGGAAUAGGUGGCUGAAUCUUUGCACAUUGUUAGGAUAUCAUCUGGCUCAUUAUUUUCAGUGUCUCUGGACACUGAUAAGCACUUUCUAAGAACGCUGCUGGAAGGGUAGGAGAGGUUUGGAGGGGAUCUCCUCUCAUUACACCAUUCGCCCAUACACAGUACACACAUGUAUUAACUGAUAUCAGAAGAAAGCAGCUGAAGAUCUGCUUCCAGAUGUCUCAGUGGGGAAACACAGUCCCAAUGCAGAAUAAAAACCCCAUUGAGCAUAGGUACAGCCCAAUAAAUGGUAGUUACUUUUCCCCCCAAAGACUUUUUUUUAAAAUCAGUUGUAGGGUCACAAGAAAUGAGCAGGAAGUAUAGAGUUUCCAUAUACCCCUUCCCCUGCCAACCUCCUCCACUACCAACAUCCUCAUUAGAGAGGUACAUUUGUUACAACUGACGAACCUACAUUGACACAUCAUUACCACCCAAAGUCCAUAGUUUACAUUACAGCUCACUCUUAGGGUUGUACAUUCUAUGGGUUUGGACAAAUAUAUGACUACAUGUAUCCACCAUUGCAGUAUCACACAGGAUAGUUUCACUGCCCUAAAAAUCUCCCUUGCUCCACUUUUUUUGCCUUUCCUCCUAACCUCAGGUAACCACUGAUCCUUUUACUAUCUCCACAGUUUUGCCUUUCCCAGAAUGUCAUAUAGUUGGAAUCAUACAGUAUGUAGACAUUUUCAGAUUGGCUUCUUUCAUUUAGCAAUAAUGCAUUGAAGUUUCUUCCUUGUCUUUUCAUGGCUUUAUAAAGUUAUAGAGUUAUAACUCAUUUAUUUUUAGUACUGAAUAACAGCUCCUUGUUUUGAUGUACCACAGUUUAUGUAUCCAUUCCUCUUCUGAAGGACAUCUUGCUUGCUUCCAGCAAUUAUAAAUAAACAUCCAUAUGCAGGUUUUUAUGUGUAUAGUUGCCUUUUUAAAUUUGUUUUUGAAUUAUUUGCUUAAACUCAGAGGCAAAAACAUAUAAUCCCUCACAUUUUGGAGUUAGACAACUUCUGCCCAGUGCUGCCAAUUAUUGGUCAUAUAAUCUCAAGCAAUUUAUUUUUUCUUUCUUGACUUUGCAUGAUCAAGCAUCUGCAUAAGGAAGAAACUAGAACCAUGGUUAAGAAGGUUUUUCUGAAAUUAGAAGAAGUAAUGCUUAAAAAGUAAUGACAGGUGUCAUGUAUGAUCACUGGCUAGAACAGUUAUAAGAAGUUAUCAUGAAUGAUAAAAAUUACCACUGAAAAUAGUUAUCGGUAAUGCUAACAUUAGCAUUGUUAUUAAUUACUAAUAUUAAAAUUAUUAUUUUAAUGCUAAUAGUUGUUACAAGUGAUAAUAGCUAUUAAUUGUUAUAGUUAACAUUAAUGAUAAUAUUUGUAAGUCCUUAAGAUGUACUAGUCAACAUUCUCAGUGCUGUCCAUGUAGUAACUCUUCACUCUUACUGUAAGUGGUUGGUUCUAUGUAUUAUACAGGUGAGGAAAUUAAGACCCAAAGAGUCUAAGUAACUUCUCUAAAGUUCUAAAACUAGUAAUUUGCCAGAGCUGGAAUUUGAAUCUGCCUCUAAAAUCUGUGCUUUUAGUAGAGAAUAUAAUUCAUAAUAAAUAUUAAAUUAGUUU
rnacentral:tRNA from 10 species